GACGAGGUGGCCGAUAGGUUAAGGCGAUGGAUUGCUAAUCCCUUGUGUCCUGCACGCGUGGGUUCGAGUCCCACUCUCGUCG